rnacentral:tRNA from 1 species
UCCCUGGUGGCUCAGAUGCUAAAGCAUCUGCCUGCAGUGCGGGAGACCCAGGUUCGAUUCCUGAGUUGGGAA